GGGCACUCUAAGGAGACUGCCGGUGACAAACCGGAGGAAGGUGGGGAUGACGUCAAGUCAUCAUGCCCCUUCGGCCAGGGCUACACACGUGCUACAAUGGUCGGUACAAAGGGUAGCCAAGCCGCGAGGUCAAGCUAAUCCCAUAAAGCCGAUCGCAGUUCGGAUCGCAGUCUGCAACUCGACUGCGUGAAGUCGGAAUCGCUAGUAAUCGUAGAUCAGCAUGUCACGGUGAAUACGUUCCCGGGCCUUGUACACACCGCCCGUCACACC
rnacentral:rRNA from 1 species